rnacentral:rRNA from 1 species
CGGGAGCUGUUACAGGUGUUGCAUGGCUGUCGUCAGCUCGUGUCGUGAGAUGUUCGUUAAGUCCGCUAACGAGCGCAACCCUCGUGAUGUGUUACAAGUGUCACAUCAUACUGCCGGUAUUAAGUCGGAGGAAGGUGGGGAUGACGUCAAGUCAGCAUGACCUUUAUAUCCAGGGCUACACACACGCUACAAUGGUCUGUACAAUAGGUUGCCAAGCCGCGAGGCGGAGCCAAUCCUAAAAAGCAGGCCUCAGUUCAGAUUGCAGUCUGCAACUCGACUGCAUGAAGUUGGAGUUGCUAGUAAACGCAGGUCAGCUAUACUGCGUUGAAUACGUUCCCGGGGAUU